rnacentral:rRNA from 1 species
AUGGCUCAUUAAAUCAGUUAUCGUUUAUUUGAUAGUACCUUACUACUUGGAUAACCGUGGUAAUUCUAGAGCUAAUACAUGCUAAAAACCCCGACUUCGGAAGGGGUGUAUUUAUUAGAUAAAAAACCAAUGCCCUUCGGGGCUCCUUGGUGAAUCAUGAUAACUUAACGAAUCGCAUGGCCUUGUGCCGGCGAUGGUUCAUUCAAAUUUCUGCCCUAUCAACUUUCGAUUGUAGGAUAGAGGCCUACAAUGGUUUCAACGGGUAACGGGGAAUUAGGGUUCUAUUCCGGAGAGGGAGCCUGAGAAACGGCUACCACAUCCAAGGAAGGCAGCAGGCGCGCAAAUUACCCAAUCCCGAUACGGGGAGGUAGUGACAAUAAAUACUGAUACAGGGCUCUUUUGGGUCUUGUAAUUGGAAUGAGUACAAUUUAAAUCUCUUAACGAGGAACAAUUGGAGGGCAAGUCUGGUGCCAGCAGCCGCGGUAAUUCCAGCUCCAAUAGCGUAUAUUAAAGUUGUUGCAGUUAAAAAGCUCGUAGUUGAACCUUGGGCCUGGCUGGCCGGUCUGCCUCACCGCAUGUACUGGUUCGGCCGGGUCUUUCCUCCUGGGGAUCCGCAUGCCCUUCACUGGGUGUGUUGGGGAACCAGGACUUUUACUUUGAAAAAAUUAGAGUGUUCAAAGCAGGCCUUUGCUCGAAUACAUUAGCAUGGAAUAAUAGAAUAGGACGUGCGGUCCUAUUUUGUUGGUUUCUAGGACCGCCGUAAUGAUUAAUAGGGAUAGUCGGGGGCAUCAGUAUUCAGUUGUCAGAGGUGAAAUUCUUGGAUUUACUGAAGACUAACUACUGCGAAAGCAUUUGCCAAGGAUGUUUUCAUUAAUCAGUGAACGAAAGUUAGGGGAUCGAAGACGAUCAGAUACCGUCGUAGUCUUAACCGUAAACUAUGCCGACUAGGGAUCGGGCGAUGUUAUUCUUUUGACUCGCUCGGCAC